GUUACUGCUAUCGGAGUUCGAUUAAGCCAUGCGAGUCUAAAGGUUUCUUCGGAAACCUUGGCGGACUGCUCAGUAACACGUGGAUAACCUACCCUUGGGACUGGAAUAACCCCGGGAAACUGGGGAUAAUACCGGAUAGAUCAGGGAUGCUGGAAUGCACCUUGAUCCAAAGCUCCGGCGCCCAAGGAUGGGUCUGCGGCCUAUCAGGUUGUAGUGGGUGUAACGUACCUACUAGCCGACGACGGGUACGGGUUGUGAGAGCAAGAGCCCGGAGAUGGAUUCUGAGACACGAAUCCAGGCCCUACGGGGUGCAGCAGGCGCGAAAACUUUACAAUGUGCGAAAGCAUGAUAAGGGAACUCCGAGUGCCAGUAUCUAAUACUGGCUGUCCUUGUGCCUAAAACGCACAAGAUAGCAAGGGCCGGGUAAGACCGGUGCCAGCCGCCGCGGUAACACCGGCGGCCCGAGUGGUAGCCGCUAUUAUUGGGUCUAAAGGGUCCGUAGCCGGUUCGAUAAGUCCUCUGGGAAAUCUGGUUGCUUAACAAUCAGACUGCCAAGGGAUACUGUCGAACUAGAGACCGGGAGAGGUAAGAGGUACUUCAGGGGUAGGAGUGAAAUCUUGUAAUCCCUGGGGGACCAUCUGUGGCGAAGGCGUCUUACCAGAACGGGUCUGACGGUGAGGGACGAAAGCUGGGGGCGCAAACCGGAUUAGAUACCCGGGUAGUCCCAGCCGUAAACGAUGCUCGCUAUGUGUCAGGUACGGUGUGACCGUAUCUGGUGCCGUAGGGAAGCCGUGAAGCGAGCCACCUGGGAAGUACGGUCGCAAGACUGAAACUUAAAGGAAUUGGCGGGGGAGCACUACAACGGGUGGAGCCUGCGGUUUAAUUGGAUUCAACGCCGGA
rnacentral:rRNA from 1 species